AGUGCACUUGCUGGGUCAUAGGUGAAAUAGAAGUUUAACUUUAUAAGAAACUGCCAAACUGUUUUCCAAAGUAGCUGUACCACUUUGCAUUCCCACCAGCAAC
rnacentral:pre_miRNA from 1 species